rnacentral:rRNA from 1 species
UACGGAGGGUGCGAGCGUCGUCCGGAAUUACUGGGCGUAAAGCGCGCGUAGGCGGGUUACUAAGUCAGGGGUGAAAUGCCGAGGCUCAACCUCGGAACUGCCUUUGAUACUGGUAACCUGGAGUACGGAAGAGGUGAGUGGAAUUCCGAGUGUAGAGGUGAAAUUCGUAGAUAUUCGGAGGAACACCAGAAGCGAAGGCGGCUCACUGGUCCGAUACUGACGCUGAGGCGCGAAAGCGUGGGGAGCAAACAGG